GUGUCAGCAGCCGCGGUAAUACCAGCACCCCGAGUGGUCGGGACGAUUAUUGGGCCUAAAGCAUCCGUAGCUUGUCCUGCAAGUCUUCCGUUAAAUCCACCUGCUCAACAGAUGGGCUGCGGGAGAUACUACAGGGCUAGGAGGCGGGAGAGGCAAGCGGUACUCAGUGGGUAGGGGUAAAAUCCUCUGAUCCACUGAAGACCACCAGUGGCGAAGGCGGCUUGCCAGAACGCGCUCGACGGUGAGGGAUGAAAGCUGGGGGAGCAAACCGGAUUAGAAACCCGCGUAGUCC
rnacentral:rRNA from 1 species